rnacentral:rRNA from 1 species
UCAAAUCAGGUAGGACUACCCGCUGAACUUAAGCAUAUCAAUAAC